GUAGACCCACUCCUGCUUUCUUGACCUUCAGAGUCAAUAGUCGAUAAACUAUUUCACACUGUAUUAAAGACUCCAAAGUGUUCAACUCGAGAUAAAAUCUGACAGCAGCACAGCUGAUUGAUGAAAAGAGAGGCCCGC
rnacentral:lncRNA from 1 species